rnacentral:ncRNA from 1 species
GCGAGCCGUAUACAUGGAGACGUGUACGUACGGUUCUGGGGGGGAUGCAUGGGAACCUACCAUAGAAAUAUGGCAAGGCACUGGGUAUCUACGCUAC